UCGAGCGAUUCUCUUCGGAGAAGAGCGGCGGACGGGUGAGUAACGCGUGGGUAACCUGCCCUGUACACACGGAUAACAUACCGAAAGGUAUGCUAAUACGGGAUAAUAUGCUUUAGUCGCAUGGCUGAAGUAUCAAAGCUCCGGCGGUACAGGAUGGACCCGCGUCUGAUUAGCUAGUUGGUGAGGUAAUGGCUCACCAAGGCGACGAUCAGUAGCCGACCCGAGAGGGUGAUCGGCCACAUUGGAACUGAGACACGGUCCAAACUCCUACGGGAGGCAGCAGUGGGGAAUAUUGCACAAUGGGCGAAAGCCUGAUGCAGCAACGCCGCGUGAGCGAUGAAGGCCUUCGGGUCGUAAAGCUCUGUCCUCAAGGAAGAUAAUGACGGUACUUGAGGAGGAAGCCCCGGCUAACUACGUGCCAGCAGCCGCGGUAAUACGUAGGGGGCUAGCGUUAUCCGGAAUUACUGGGCGUAAAGGGUGCGUAGGUGGUUUCUUAAGUCAGAGGUGAAAGGCUACGGCUCAACCGUAGUAAGCCUUUGAAACUGAGAAACUUGAGUGCAGGAGAGGAGAGUAGAAUUCCUAGUGUAGCGGUGAAAUGCGUAGAUAUUAGGAGGAAUACCAGUUGCGAAGGCGGCUCUCUGGACUGUAACUGACACUGAGGCACGAAAGCGUGGGGAGCAAACAGGAUUAGAUACCCUGGUAGUCCACGCCGUAAACGAUGAGUACUAGCUGUCGGAGGUUACCCCCUUCGGUGGCGCAGCUAACGCAUUAAGUACUCCGCCUGGGAAGUACGCUCGCAAG
rnacentral:rRNA from 1 species